AAUACAUGCAAGUCGAGCGCACCUUCGGGUGAGCGGCGGACGGGUGAGUAACGCGUGGGAAUGUGCCCUUUGGUACGGAACAACUGAGGGAAACUUCAGCUAAUACCGUAUGUGCCCUUCGGGGGAAAGAUUUAUCGCCAUUGGAGCAGCCCGCGUUGGAUUAGGUAGUUGGUGAGGUAAAGGCUCACCAAGCCUACGAUCCAUAGCUGGUCUGAGAGGAUGAUCAGCCACACUGGGACUGAGACACGGCCCAGACUCCUACGGGAGGCAGCAGUAGGGAAUCUUGCGCAAUGGGCGAAAGCCUGACGCAGCCAUGCCGCGUGAAUGAUGAAGGUCUUAGGAUUGUAAAAUUCUUUCACCGGGGAAGAUAAUGACGGUACCCGGAGAAGAAGCCCC
rnacentral:rRNA from 1 species